rnacentral:rRNA from 1 species
AUGAACGCUAGCUACAGGCUUAACACAUGCAAGUCGAGGGGCAGCAUGGUCUUAGCUUGCUAAGGCCGAUGGCGACCGGCGCACGGGUGAGUAACACGUAUCCAACCUGCCGUCUACUCUUGGACAGCCUUCUGAAAGGAAGAUUAAUACAAGAUGGCAUCAUGAGUCCGCAUGUUCACAUGAUUAAAGGUAUUCCGGUAGACGAUGGGGAUGCGUUCCAUUAGAUAGUAGGCGGGGUAACGGCCCACCUAGUCUUCGAUGGAUAGGGGUUCUGAGAGGAAGGUCCCCCACAUUGGAACUGAGACACGGUCCAAACUCCUACGGGAGGCAGCAGUGAGGAAUAUUGGUCAAUGGGCGAGAGCCUGAACCAGCCAAGUAGCGUGAAGGAUGACUGCCCUAUGGGUUGUAAACUUCUUUUAUAAAGGAAUAAAGUCGGGUAUGCAUACCCGUUUGCAUGUACUUUAUGAAUAAGGAUCGGCUAACUCCGUGCCAGCAGCCGCGGUAAUACGGAGGAUCCGAGCGUUAUCCGGAUUUAUUGGGUUUAAAGGGAGCGUAGAUGGAUGUUUAAGUCAGUUGUGAAAGUUUGCGGCUCAACCGUAAAAUUGCAGUUGAUACUGGAUAUCUUGAGUGCAGUUGAGGCAGGCGGAAUUCGUGGUGUAGCGGUGAAAUGCUUAGAUAUCACGAAGAACUCCGAUUGCGAAGGCAGCCUGCUAAGCUGCAACUGACAUUGAGGCUCGAAAGUGUGGGUAUCAAACAGGAUUAGAUACCCUGGUAGUCCACACGGUAAACGAUGAAUACUCGCUGUUUGCGAUAUACAGCAAGCGGCCAAGCGAAAGCGUUAAGUAUUCCACCUGGGGAGUACGCCGGCAACGGUGAAACUCAAAGGAAUUGACGGGGGCCCGCACAAGCGGAGGAACAUGUGGUUUAAUUCGAUGAUACGCGAGGAACCUUACCCGGGCUUGAAUUGCAACUGAAUGAUGUGGAGACAUGUCAGCCGCAAGGCAGUUGUGAAGGUGCUGCAUGGUUGUCGUCAGCUCGUGCCGUGAGGUGUCGGCUUAAGUGCCAUAACGAGCGCAACCCUUGUUGUCAGUUACUAACAGGUCAUGCUGAGGACUCUGACAAGACUGCCAUCGUAAGAUGUGAGGAAGGUGGGGAUGACGUCAAAUCAGCACGGCCCUUACGUCCGGGGCUACACACGUGUUACAAUGGGGGGUACAGAGGGCCGCUACCACGCGAGUGGAUGCCAAUCCCAAAAACCUCUCUCAGUUCGGACUGGAGUCUGCAACCCGACUCCACGAAGCUGGAUUCGCUAGUAAUCGCGCAUCAGCCACGGCGCGGUGAAUACGUUCCCGGGCCUUGUACACACCGCCCGUCAAGCCAUGGGAGCCGGGGGUACCUGAAGUGCGUAACCGCGAGGAGCGCCCUAGGGUAAAACUGGUGACUGGGGCU